AUUGAACGCUGGCGGCAUGCCUUACACAUGCAAGUCGAACGGCAGCACGGGUGCUUGCACCUGGUGGCGAGUGGCGAACGGGUGAGUAAUACAUCGGAACAUGUCCUGUAGUGGGGGAUAGCCCGGCGAAAGCCGGAUUAAUACCGCAUACGAACUACGGAUGAAAGCGGGGGACCUUCGGGCCUCGCGCUGUAGGGUUGGCCGAUGGCUGAUUAGCUAGUUGGUGGGGUAAAGGCCUACCAAGGCGACGAUCCGUAGCUGGUCUGAGAGGACGACCAGCCACACUGGGACUGAGACACGGCCCAGACUCCUACGGGAGGCAGCAGUGGGGAAUGUUGGACAAUGGGCGAAAGCCUGAUCCAGCAAUGCCGCGUGUGUGAAGAAGGCCUUCGGGUUGUAAAGCACUUUUGUCCGGAAAGAAAUCCUUGGCCCUAAUACGGUCGGGGGAUGACGGUACCGGAAGAAUAAGCACCGGCUAACUACGUG
rnacentral:rRNA from 1 species